UGGGGUGUAGCUCUGUGGUAGGGGCUUGCCUUACAUGCAAGAGGCCUGGGUUUGACCCCCAGCACUGCAG
rnacentral:tRNA from 1 species